rnacentral:rRNA from 1 species
UACGGAGGGUGCAAGCGUUAUCCGGAUUCACUGGGUUAAAGGGAGCGUAGGUGGGUUGGUAAGUCAGUGGUGAAUCCCGAGCUUAACUUGGGAACUGCCAUUGAUACUAUCAGUCUUGAAUACUGUGGAGGUUAGCGGAAUAUGUCAUGUAGCGGUGAAAUGCUUAGAUAUGACAUAGAACACCAAUUGCGAAGGCAGCUGGCUACACAAAUAUUGACACUGAGGCUCGAAAGCGUGGGGAUCAAACAGG